rnacentral:rRNA from 1 species
UGGCGGACGGGUGAGUAACGCGUGGGUAACCUGCCUCAUACAGGGGGAUAACAGUUAGAAAUGACUGCUAAUACCGCAUAAGACCACAGCACCGCAUGGUGCAGGGGUAAAAACUCCGGUGGUAUGAGAUGGACCCGCGUCUGAUUAGGUAGUUGAUGGGGUAACGGCCUACCAAGCCGACGAUCAGUAGCCGACCUGAGAGGGUGACCGGCCACAUUGGGACUGAGACACGGCCCAA